AUAUAAUAUGUGUGGGUGCAAUAAAUGAGUAAGAGGAAAACUUCAGCUAAACACAUACACCGCAUAAAUGUUAAAACAAAUUGAAAAACAGUCUGGUCACUAAGGGGUUAAAACAGAGUUACAAUCAUAUUUUUCUAUCAAUACCUCCCGGAUUCCUCAAUUGAAAACAUCUGGUUGGCCCAUAAGGCUUACAUUAGAGGAACAUUUAUUAAGCAUGCUAGCCAUGCCAAAAAGGAGAGAGACGCCAAAUAUACUUCUAUCAUCACAAACUCACCUCUCUGACACACUAACAAAUACAACCUGUCUUCUAGUACUAACUCCAAACUUCUUGCACUACAAGUACAACUUCAAGUCCUUUAAUUAGCAAAAACUGCAUUUAUACUACAACGUAUGAAAUAGAAAUCCGGAGCCAUGUUGGCAUCUCAACUAAAGGCUAGAACGGUCACCUCCAGAAUCGCCUACCUAGAAGGAUCCUGUAAUCGGAAAAUUCUUAACCCUCCAAAAAUUUGCAUAUUUGUAUACAAUGCCAGGCAACCUGUAUAACCUACGAGACGAACCCCCCACACCUAACACCCAAGACAUAGAUCAAUUCUUAGAUACUUUCGAACUCCGUCCUGACGGAAAAUGACAGGAAUCAACUCACACGGCUGUUUGACUUAAAGGAGAUACCUGACUUAAUAUCACAAUUGCUAACACAAAAAAAACCAGGACCGGAUGGACUCUCUCACAGAUACUACCAAAUGUUUUCCGACAUACUAUCACCCAACUGCAGACCGUUUUUAACUACUGUUACUCCAAGGGAAUUCUCCCUGCAGAAAUGUUAUUGGCACAUAUUUCCAUGCUCCCUAAGCUGGGUAAAACUACGACCCAGUGUAAACAUUUUAGGCCAAUUUCCCUAUUGAACUGUGAUGCUAAGAUGUAUGCCAAAUUGAUUAGUAACAGGAUAGCACUACUACUGCCCAAACUGGUCCAUAACAACCAAUCUGGUUUCAUGAAAGGACGUCAGGGAUCUAACAGUUCUAGGAUGGAGAUGGAGCGUACUUGUGUCGGAGGCCUUUUCCUUUUGCUAGAUGCAGAAAAGGCCUUCGACGGGCUAAACUGGCAAUACAUGAACAAAGUACUGGAGAAAUUAAACUUCCUGGACAAAAAUAAGUGGAACCGCUCACCUGGAUUAGAGCCCAUAAACCUGGCUCUCAGUUUGAUAGCUUGUGUGUCAAUUAGGGGGCACAAACCCUUUUUUUGAAUAGCUGGAACACUGGAUACUGAAGUCCACAGGAGAAGGUGUAGUUAAAUUAUGUAGUAAAAUGAUAACUAGAGUCCUUUAAGGUGACGUAAUACGGUACGGUACAAGGUUU